rnacentral:rRNA from 1 species
AUGAGAGCACUGGAGAACAGAGCAAUGUAUUCAAAGCAAGACAUGGACAUACUUGCCGCUUUAGAAGAGAUACUGUCGAUGAAAUUUAGACAUGUUGGAGUCUCCAUUGACCAGAUGCAUGAAAUUUUGAAGCAGGCUCAUCAAAAGGAAGAAAAAACAGUAACAGAACUAGAUGAAGAAGAGAAAGAACUCAUCAAAUCAAUCACUUUCAGAAACUUAGAAAAUUAUGUUAAACGGAUCGAAGACGACGAUGACAAUGAUGAAGAUUUUUAUAUACCAGGACAGUCAAGUGUCCCGUGA